UUGAGAUGUGAACAUGUAUUUAGCAUUUGGGAUUUAAUGGAAAUGAGUGUAUGGAUUAGUUAGCUAUAUAUAUGUGUUUGUCUAUCAGGUGAGUUUUGUUGCAUAAAUAGAUAUAUCAUGCUCAAUUUUCGAGGCGUUACACUGAUGAACAACGUGAGGCUGCUAGUAAGUGGCAUGAGGCGGAUGAUGUUGCAAAAUGCUACAUAUUUGCCUCAAUGACCAAUGUGUUGCAAAAGCAGCAUGAGGGUUGAAAGAAAUGUUUGGAGAACAGAGCAGAAGUGCAUGCCAAAUUGCCAUGAAAGGUUUGAUGUCCACCAAAAUAGUGGAAGGUACUCUAUGCCCUGAAAAUGAUAUCUUUCAUUUACAUAUUGGAAAUUUUGAGUGUAGAUAUUGAAAGUGAAACUAAAAUUGAUGCGAUCCUUUCAUCUUUACCAGAUUCUUAUAAUCAAUUUAUUUUGAGUUACAACAUGAAUAAGAUGAUCGUUGCACCAUCAGAGCUGCUAAAUAUGUUGCAAGCAACAAAGGAUCUUAUUAAAGAGCCAACCCACUAUAAUGAUGGGUGAGAAGGAAGGUCCAAGAAAAUUCAAGCCUAAAGGCAAGAAUAAUUUUAAUAAGAAAUCUAUUGGCUCUAAGUUCUCUGGAAAACAUGGUAUUUUUAUAAAGGGCAUUGAUAAAAAGAAUAGCAAAGGAAAUUGUUUCUAUUGUGGAAAGCUUGGCCAUUGGAAGAGAAAUUGCCUGUCAUUAUUUGGCAAUGUUGAAAAAGGACAAACCUUCAGAAGGGGUCAAGGAGACCAGAAGGCUUAAGGAAGGGGAGAUGCUAAUAAAGUUGGGAACAAGUGUAACAGUUGCUAUAGUUUCUAUAGGAACUUCUUAUUUAGAAUUAUCAUUUAAUAGGACUCUAGUUUUAAAAGAUUGUCUAUUUGUGCCAAAUAUCCGUAGAAAUUUAAUUUCUGUUUCAAAGUUAAUUUCGUUGGGAUAUUGUUUCUCAUUUUCUUUGAAAGUUGUUAUUAAGCACAAUAAUAAAUUUGUGGUUUCUGGCAUUUUAAUAGAUGGUAUUUACUUU